CACUCGUAAGAAUCUGUAUGCUAAUGAGGAAUCGGUAUAAGCUGACACAUGUAUUCCAUUGUUGACAAUGCUGACUGCCAUAGCAAAAUUUACACUAUGACUGUGGUUGAUACUUAAUUUUCCUAUACUGGCUGAAUUAUAAACAAGAACCCAACACCAAGACUUAGAAUUCAUUACAGACAAUUGUUUAUUUUCAUGGCCAACUGAGUCCAUCUGCCUACAAAUUCUUAUAUAAACAUCUCUUUCAUAUACUAUAAAUCAAUUGUAAUUUUUCUGUUACCAAUGUAACUUCCGUCAGACAUGCCCAAUGUGUAAAGGGAUGAAUUACCCUUCUGAAGUAUCCUGGGAGAGUAAUUCCAUGACUCAAUUUAAUAGGCUAAAGAGGUUUAAUGGACUCGCAGUUCUGCAUGGCUGGGGAGGUGUCAGGAAACUUAACAAUCAUAGCAGAAGAGGAAGCAGGCAUGUCUUACAUGGUGGCAGGUGGGAGAGAGAAUACCAAGGGGGAGGAACCCCAUACUUACCAAAAAAAACAGGUCUCAUGAAAGGGACUGGCACUUCUAGAGGAACCAGGCUACUAUGCAACAGAUAUUCGGCCCUUGGGAGAGACUUCAUUCCUUGUGCCUCUUGCCCUUAGGUCACCCUCCUGUGACAAAACGUAUUACACAAAAGAGUAACCCAGUAACCUCUAGUAAUUCCUCCUCCAUUUAGGUGGGGAAUCUAAAUAAAGAACGUCCAUGAUGUGCCGUAAGUUGUGUUAGGAGACCAGAACUUUAGUCCAUGUGCCAUGAGCCAUUUACCUUGGUCUUUUCAGAACACAUGAUGUCAUUUCCUUUCUUACUUAAAAGCGGAGACUAUACAAUAUCACCUCCGUCUAUGUCACUUAAAAUUCUUCUGUUUUUCCUCCCUUACUUCCACUUAACUUGGAGGAGGAUUUUUCUCUU
rnacentral:lncRNA from 1 species